AGAAUUACUAUGACGGAAACCCAACAUUGUAGAUUGGAGAUCCCAAGAUCUUGGUUCAAUGGGACAACUAAGUCAUAAAUGAUUCGGAAUAAAGCACUUAUUCCCAUUCCUAAAAUUUAAAGUGCUAUGUAAAAUGUGUAUAAGGAUAAGUAUACAUAUAUACUUUUAAUGAUUCAUAACCUUGAGAUAGAAAGGUAUGAGAUCACCUAUAUAAGUGUGAAAUGGGGCCGUUUCUAUGAGAGUUCGAGGCUUAAUUCUCUUAGAGCACUUAUGAAACCAAGAGUUGUCCAGGGCCAAAAUGGACUCAACCAUGAGAACCGAAUA
rnacentral:lncRNA from 1 species